GUUAAUCAUCGAAUUUUUGAACGCAAAUUGCACUCUCCUCGGAGAGUAUGCCUGUUUGAGGGUCAGCCUAUAAAAAUCGACAUCGUUGCUGUUUCGCGGUGGCGUUCGUCGGAAAUUGGGUCAUCUUAAAUCCUUUUGAUUAAAGGGCUUAAAAUUUUCUUUUUGUUUCUUUUAAGUUUCCAAAAUCUUUUUUUUUAUCCGUUUAAGGGUUC
rnacentral:misc_RNA from 1 species